CACUCUAGAGAGACUGCCAGGGAUAACCUGGAGGAAGGUGGGGAUGACGUCAAAUCAUCAUGCCCCUUAUGCUUAGGGCUACACACGUGCUACAAUGGGUAGUACAGAGGGUUGCCAAGCCGUAAGGUGGAGCUAAUCCCUUAAAGCUACUCUUAGUUCGGAUUGUAGGCUGAAACUCGCCUACAUGAAGCUGGAGUUACUAGUAAUCGCAGAUCAGAAUGCUGCGGUGAAUGCGUUCCCGGGUCUUGUACACACCGCCCGUCACACCACGGGAGUUGGAGACGCCCGAAGCCGCUUAUCUAACCUGUUGGAAGAAGUCGUCGAAGGUGGAAUCAAUAACUGGGGUGAAGUCGUAACAAGGUAGCCGUAUCGGAAGGUGCGGCUGGAUCACCUCCUUUCUAAGGAGA
rnacentral:rRNA from 1 species